rnacentral:lncRNA from 1 species
GGGAUGGGGGCUUGGGGGGGCUUCUUCCUCGCUCCCGGGGCCCCCUCCUCCGGUCGUUUUGCAGCUAGAAGACGGCCUGUUAGACGGAGCCCCGGCGGGCCUGGGCUGGAAGGGGGCGGGCCUGCCCUUCAGCCCCUCGCCUGGUCGACCCCGGAGAGUAUUUGAAGCUCGCGCUUCCUCCACCGCCCGAGCUGCAGACCCUUCUUCCCAGCGCGGCGCGACGGCCCCAAGUGGAUGGGCUGUCUCUGGUGAACACGUCCAACUCCAGAGGCUGUGACUCUGGGGACCUUCGUGACCCCAAGACAGGGUCACACACCCGUGGCAUUUGGUCGCCAAAUUCCAGCCACGAGAGCCGGAGGUCAAGGUUGGCAUGAGCGGAAGCCCAAGGGAUAGACUUGUGGGCCAGAGGCUCUGGCAGCGCAGGAAGCCCAGCCCGUGAGGAGGGGCUACAGAGCUGAGCUGCAAGCAUCCCUUAGAGCCGUGGGUUUCCAGUUGCUCAACUGGACCUAGCAGAGCUGCGGCUUCUAGGACCGUAGCCAUCAGCCUCCUGGAAGCAUCUCCAUAUACACUGAAUAAAAGGAAAUGAAAUUGAAAAACACAGCUCCCUGGUGACACUAGCCAUGUUUCAAGACGCUACUGUAUCAUUGCCAACAUCAUGGAAGGUUCUAUGGGGACGGCCGGGCACUAGAAGACUGUGGAGUCCACCUGGGAGGGGGAUGAGCAGCAUUGGAAAAGACAGUGAACAGCGGAGCUGAGUAAAUGUCACCUGUCUGACCGGUUACAACAUCACCUCGGGAAUCCUCUCGCCAACAGACAAGGACCCCCAUUCAACCGACUGGCUCCAAGCUGAGCCUUGGAGAGGUGGCUGGGGACAGGAGGAAAAGACGGAGCCCCCCGUGCAUUGCCAGGAUUUCUCUUUCCGUAUCCCAGCCUCCCUGCUCCCUGGGGCACACAGGUGGAUGGCGGAGGCAGCCAGUGAAGGCACCAACCGAGGGGCAGAACCUCCACAUGCCAUGGGCGCAGGCCAAAUGGAGAGAGUGAUGGAGAGAGGAAGAAACGCUGGGAGACACAACCUCCAAGUCUCAAGUGGAAACGGGGAGAGAGGCGUCAUGGGAGGGAGCAGCUCUCGAAGUCCCAGCUGGCCCCCCCUAGCUUCGCAAGGACAGCGCUACCUCUCCUCAUCUCUAAGACACCAUCCACCACUGUACGGCGCACUUUUCCGUAUCACUCAGAAAGAGAAACCGCUGGCAAUUAAAUUUGCCGACACGAUAUCGUGAGCUUUUUCGGGCACACAGAGUUUGGGGAACUAUAUGAUGGACAGGCACACGCGCGCCACCCAGCCUCUGCCGCUGACAUGUGGUCCUAUCGCACAUCGGUGCCUCGAGCCAUCCAUCAUUCCACCUUUUUUAAAAAAAAUUAUUAAAUAGUUGAUUGACAAUGCAGUGCCCAUCUUUUUUUUUUUUUUUUUGGAUGCAUUUCAAAGUAGCUCGCAGACAUCAUAAUAGACCCUGGCGUACGUAUCAUUAACUAGAGCUGAAUAUGUGUUCACAGUCCUUUAGUUAGCAGGAAACCUACAAAGAACGCAAAUCUUGAGCAAAAACAUUCACCGAUAUUUGACAAAUGCUUACACCUGUGUAAGCCAAACCCUUUCAAGACACAGAAUCCCAAAAUUUCCUUCCUUCCUGUGCCAGGCAACCCCCACCCCCAGAGAAAACCACUCUUGUGGUUAGUUUUGCCUGUUCUAGAACUUCCUGUAAAUGGACUCGUACAGUCUGUAUUCAACAUGAUACCUUUGAUGUCUUUUGAUAUUCUUUGAUCUUCCGCAUAAGGCCUCUGAGAUCCGGCCAAGUUGUUCUGAGGAUCAGUAAUCCAUUCCUUUUAUCACUGAGUCGUUCCCCAGGGUGUGGGCGUUGCAGGGUUGGUGCCGCCAUUCCUCUGUUGAUUGACACCUGGGCUGUUUUCUGUGUUGGGCUGUUAAAGCCAACGAGAGGUCAUCGCAUUUUUAAGGCAAUCCUGAUUUCACUUCAAAGUGGGGACCUCCAGUCCCAGGCAAGGGGAGCUGAGUGCUGACCACCAGCACCAAUUCACCAAGUUCAUCCUGCCAGCGGCCCUUGCUGGGUCUCUCUCUGUUUCACAAAUGUGAAACUGAUAGGGAAAGAGGUUAAACCAUUUACAAAUGUGAAACUGAUAGGGAAAGAGGUUAAACCAUUUACAAAUGUGAAACUGAUAGUGAAAGAGGUUAAACAGCAGGGAGUUCCCGCUGUGGCUCAGCAGAACGAACCCCACUAGCAUCCAUGAGGAUGCGAAUUUGAUCUCUGGCUCUGCUCAGGGGAUUAAAGAUCCGGCGUUGCCGUGAGCUGUGGUGUAGGUGGAAGACAUGGCUUGGAUCCUUCAUUGCUGUGGCAAUGGUGUAGGCCGGCAGCUGUAGCUCCACUUCGACCCCUAGCCUGGGAACUUCCCAUAGGUAGGCCGCCCCCCGCCCCCGAAUCGAAACCUAUAUCUUGGGAGUUCCCACUGUGGCACCGUGGGUUAAGGAUCCAACUGCAGUGGCUUGGGUCACUUCAGACGCUGGGUUUGAUCCCAGCCCAGGGCAGUAGGUUAAAGGAUCCCAUGUUGCUACAGCUGAGGCUCGGAUUCAUUCCUUAGCCUGGGAACUUCCAUAUGCUGCAGGUGUGGCCAAAAAAAAAUAUAUAUAUAUAAAUAAACCUAUAUUUUAUCCAUAUACA